CUGGACCUCGACCUUCCGCCCUCCUGACUCCCCCGCAAACCCCUGGCUGCAGAUGGAGCGCGGCCCGGCUGGGUUGGGGGCCCCGCUCUGUGGACCACGGGAUGGGGAGCGGGCCCCCGCGGUGCGGCCGAGGGAAGGGAGCCGUCCCAGCCCGGGAGGUCCGGGGGUUUGUCCGCUGGAGCCUGAGCACCUGUAAGGGGAUGCUGGAGUCUUGGGAAGGAAGGUGACUGUCAAGCGGAGAAGACCCAGCGUGAGCGUUGGCCAGAACGCGCGGCCCUUGCAGCCUCAGCUCAGGUCAAGAUGCAGAGGCCGGGAAGGAUGUGGGCCUAGCUCUGUGCCGUGCAGCCAGUCGGAUGAAGUGCGGAUGCCUGGGACCUGGCAUCACACAUGUGGCUGCUGCUGCCAUCUCAGGUGCACCGAGCGCCUGGUGUGUGUGCAGCCUCAGCUCCAAGGCCCACCCACAGCCUGGGCCUCUAGCCAGGCACCAGUCUGUGCUGCAGCUAGGGACAGUCCUUCCCCAACGAUGGAAGGACUCCGUGAGCUCUUGGCAGCUGGGUUAUCGUGAUUCUUAGGUGGUUCUGCUACUGUAUUCUGAUGGUAAAUAUGUUUUGGCAGUUUUUCCCUGCCAGAGAUCCUAAACUAUACUUUUUACUGUAUUUGGAUUAUCUUGGUUUGGGUUUUUUCUCCCAAUAAUGGGAAAAAGGUUAUUUUAAAAUAUUGGAUGAAGUUUAAGAAUUAGCACUAAAAAUACGCAUGUGACAGCUGACGUUCUGGAAUUGCAGCUGGAACUGCAGUUGAAGUUUUAACAAAAGGUGUCAAAGUGAAUUGAAAGAUCUAUUCAGUGCACUUUUCUUCAAGGACAUUUCUUGUGUUGGCAAAACUUGGGAAUAAACUGA